rnacentral:rRNA from 1 species
GAUGAACGCUGGCGGCGUGCCUAAUACAUGCAAGUCGAGCGAACGGACGAGAAGCUUGCUUCUCUGAUGUUAGCGGCGGACGGGUGAGUAACACGUGGAUAACCUACCUAUAAGACUGGGAUAACUUCGGGAAACCGGAGCUAAUACCGGAUAAUAUUUUGAACCGCAUGGUUCAAAAGUGAAAGACGGUCUUGCUGUCACUUAUAGAUGGAUCCGCGCUGCAUUAGCUAGUUGGUAAGGUAACGGCUUACCAAGGCAACGAUGCAUAGCAGACCUGAGAGGGUGAUCGGCCACACUGGAGCUGAGACACGGUCCAGACUCCUACGGGAGGCAGCAGUAGGGAAUCUUCCGCAAAGGGCGAAAGCCUGACGGAGCAACGCCGCGUGAGUGAUGAAGGUCUUCGGAUCGUAAAACUCUGUUAUUAGGGAAGAACAUAUGUGUAAGUAACUGUGCACAUCUUGACGGUACCUAAUCAGAAAGCCACGGCUAACUACGUG